CCUACGGGAGGCAGCAGUGGGGAAUUUUGGACAAUGGGCGCAAGCCUGAUCCAGCCAUUCCGCGUGCAGGAUGAAGGCCCUCGGGUUGUAAACUGCUUUUGUACGGAACGAAAAGGCUCUGGUUAAUACCUGGGGCUCAUGACGGUACUGUAAGAAUAAGCACCGGCUAACUACGUGCCAGCAGCCGCGGUAAUACGUAGGGUGCAAGCGUUAAUCGGAAUUACUGGGCGUAAAGCGUGCGCAGGCGGUUAUGUAAGACAGAGGUGAAAUCCCCGGGCUCAACCUGGGAACUGCCUUUGUGACUGCAUAGCUGGAGUACGGCAGAGGGGGAUGGAAUUCCGCGUGUAGCAGUGAAAUGCGUAGAUAUGCGGAGGAACACCGAUGGCGAAGGCAAUCCCCUGGGCCUGUACUGACGCUCAUGCACGAAAGCGUGGGUAGCAAACAGGAUUAGAUACCCUGGUAGUCCACGCCCUAAACGAUGUCAACUAGGUGUUGGGUGGGUAAAACCAUUUAGUACCGUAGCUAACGCGUGAAGUUGACCGCCUGGGGAGUACGGCCGCAAGGUUAAAACUCAAAGGAAUUGACGG
rnacentral:rRNA from 1 species